rnacentral:rRNA from 1 species
AAACAAGUAUUAAAGGCAACGCCUGCCCAGUGAACAAUUAAACGGCCGCGGUAUCCUAACCGUGCAAAGGUAGCAUAAUCAUUUGUCUAUUAAUUGUAGACCUGUAUGAAAGGCAAAAUGAGGAUUUAACUGUCUCUUAUAAUAAAUCUAUUAAACUGAUCUUCUAGUAAAAAAGCUAAAAUAAUUACAUAAGACCAGAAGACCCUGUGAAGCUUAAACUAAACAGUUAAACCAAAUAACAACUAAUUUCGGUUGGGGCGACCUUGGAAAUAAAAAUAACUUCCAACUAAAAAUACUUACUACAACGGCCAACAAGCCUACCAAUGACCCAGUAAAACUGAUAAUUGAACAAAGUUACUCCAGGGAUAACAGCGCUAUCUUCUUCAAGAGCCCAUAUCAAAAAGAAGGUUUACGACCUCGAUGUUGGAUCAGGACAUCCUACUGGUGUAGCCGCUAUUAAGGGUUCGUUUGUUCAACGACUAACGUCCU